UUAAUAGAAACCAAAAAGAGGUACUUCACUGUUAAUGAAAAUACUGAGAUUAUUCUCCUAUUAAG
rnacentral:tRNA from 1 species